CCCCUAGAUGUUCUGGGCCGCACGCGCGCUACACUGAACAGUUCAACAAGUCUUAACCUUGGCCGAUAGGUCUGGGUAAUCUUUGAACGCUGUUCGUGAUUGGGAUAGACCUUUGCAAUUAUGGGUCUUCAACGAGGAAUUCCUAGUAAACGCAAGUCAUCAGCUUGCAUUGAUUACGUCCCUGCCCUUUGUACACACCGCCCGUCGCACCUACCGAUUGAAUGGUCCGGUGAAAUCUCGGGACGGCGUCUUGGUCGCUUGCGUCCGACUGCUGAAACUUGAUUAAACCAUAUCAUUUAGAGGAAGGUGAAGUCGUAACA
rnacentral:rRNA from 1 species